rnacentral:rRNA from 1 species
UACGGGGGGGGCAAGCGUUGUUCGGAAUUACUGGGCGUAAAGGGUUCGUAGGUGGCUUGCUUAGUCAGACGUGAAAUCCCUCAGCUUAACCUGGGAAUGGCAUUUGGGACUGCAAGGCUUGAGUGCGGCAGAGGAGACUGGAAUUCCCGGUGUAGCAGUGAAAUGCGUAGAUAUCGGGAGGAAUACCGAUGGCGAAGGCAGGUCUCUGGGCUGACACUGACGCUCAUGCACGAAAGCGUGGGGAGCAAACAGG